ACGCUGGCGGCGUGCUUACACAUGCAAGUCGAACGAACCUUCGGGUUAGUGGCGGACGGGUGAGUAACGCGUGAGAAUCUGCCCUCAGGAGGGGGAUAACGGCUGGAAACGGCCGCUAAUACCCCAUAUGCCGAGAGGUGAAAUGAAUUUCGCCUGAGGAUGAGCUCGCGUCUGAUUAGCUAGUUGGUGUGGUAAAGGCUCACCAAGGCUUCGAUCAGUAGCUGGUCUGAGAGGAUGAUCAGCCACACUGGGACUGAGACACGGCCCAGACUCCUACGGGAGGCAGCAGUGGGGAAUUUUCCGCAAUGGGCGCAAGCCUGACGGAGCAACGCCGCGUGAGGGAUGAAGGCCUCUGGGCUGUAAACCUCUUUUAUCAAGGAAGAAGAUCUGACGGUACUUGAUGAAUAAGCCACGGCUAAUUCCGUGCCAGCAGCCGCGGUAAUACGGGAGUGGCAAGCGUUAUCCGGAAUUAUUGGGCGUAAAGCGUCCGCAGGCGGUUUUACAAGUCUGUCGUUAAAACGUGGAGCUCAACUCCAUUUCGGCGAUGGAAACUGUAAGACUAGAGUGUGGUAGGGGCAGAGGGAUUCCCGGUGUAGCGGUGAAAUGCGUAGAUAUCGGGAAGAACACCAGUGGCGAAGGCGCUCUGCUGGGCCAUAACUGACGCUCAUGGACAAAGCUAGGGGAGCGAAAGGGAUUGAUACCCCUGUAGUCCUAGCCGUAAACGAUGAACACUAGGUGUCGGGGGAAUCGACCCCCUCGGUGUCGUAACCAACGCGUUAAGUGUUCCGCCUGGGGAGUA
rnacentral:rRNA from 1 species